GACGAACGCUGGCGGCGUGCUUAACACAUGCAAGUCGAACGGAAAGGCCCUGCUUUUGUGGGGUGCUCGAGUGGCGAACGGGUGAGUAACACGUGAGUAACCUGCCCUUGACUUUGGGAUAACUUCAGGAAACUGGGGCUAAUACCGGAUAGGAGCUCCUGCUGCAUGGUGGGGGAUGGAAAGUUUCGGCGGUGGGGGAUGGACUCGCGGCUUAUCAGCUUGUUGGUGGGGUAGUGGCUUACCAAGGCUUUGACGGGUAGCCGGCCUGAGAGGGUGACCGGCCACAUUGGGACUGAGAUACGGCCCAGACUCCUACGGGAGGCAGCAGUGGGGAAUAUUGCACAAUGGGCGGAAGCCUGAUGCAGCAACGCCGCGUGCGGGAUGACGGCCUUCGGGUUGUAAACCGCUUUCGCCUGUGACGAAGCGUGAGUGACGGUAAUGGGUAAAGAAGCACCGGCUAACUACGUG
rnacentral:rRNA from 1 species